CUCUUUUGAGUUAGUAUGUUAAAGACAUAAUCACUUAUAUUCUGUUCUGGUUUUCAGUGUUGGUGUUUCUUCCCUUGACAGUCCUAACAAGACUCCAAAGUGACAUUACAGAAAUGGUGUAGCAUGGAAACAUUUUAAGUCCCCUGCUGACAGCAUUACUUACCCUAUCCCUGGAGGAGGUGACACUGAAAGACCAACUGACCUUUCUUGCAACACAGAGAAUCAAGGAAGAGUGCCAGGACAGAAGGCUCACCAGAACAGAUAUUUGAGGAAAGAACAAAGAUCAGGAGACAGUUGUGGCAGUGCCUGAAUGUGGUGAUGGCACAGAGGAGAGCUACAGGCUCAAGUACGAAGUGAGAAUAUCUUUUUGGCCUUCCAGAACAGCAUGUUGGGAACAAUGUCUUUCCCUUGCGAGAAAGGAGAGGAGCUCUGUACCCUCUUUCUAUUCUUGUGAUAUUUACAAAACUUCUGUGAACACCACCUCUUGGGAAGUUUACCAAACUAGAAGUGUAAAAAUGAAGAGUUACAAGUUUAGAAGGGGGAAGAGAGAAGUCAACAUGGGAGAAUAAACCAAGGAAAGGAAACAGGAAAGAAACUUUGUGGUGCAACAUACUGCUGCUACAAACAGCUGAGCAGCCUGACCAGCAUGGGCACAGCACUGAACUUCCAGGCUUCCCUUCUGAUAGCUGAAUAAUCCUUCUUGUAUGUUUACUUGGUCUUGUGUACUGGUCAUGUUCUAUUUCUGGGUGAAAUUUGUCUUUGACUUUUAUUCCUGAGUGUGCUCAGAAGACGAUAAGGCAGCUGGGGCCUCAAAGCAUUUUUACUUCAGAGCAUCUGUAUCAAAAUUUCGGCUGAACUGCAUACAACACAGAGUAGCAAAAGACCAGGAACAAAAUGUAAAAUGUUGACUCAUGGUGAGGAGUGGUCUGCUUGUUCUCGGAAUUAGUUCAGAAAAGAAUGCUGUUUGUCAGAGGCCGAACAGCUCUGUAGAAGAGAAACAGACCGUAGUGCUCUUCUUCAUGGGCUAAGCUACUCAUGUUAUAUUCACAGAACAACUUACUCUCUGGCUUUAUCAACAAAAAAAGAGUGGAUAGAGUCAUGGCUAAACCUACUACUUUCCUUGCCCUCUGCUUCAUUAUUCUACUUUAAGACUGGCAUCCAAACUGGAAAAAAGUCUUGUACGGAAAAAAUUAAUCAAAUAAGAGUCACGAUUUAGCUGAAACUUAGUUAUCUCACUAUAAAAGCAAAUUCCUUUCAAAUAAGCAUGUGAACUCUUCAUUUUAAAGUUCUGGACAGUGAGAAGGAGUCAAUUCAUGGAGGAGGAAAAGCUGAUCAAAGCUAGCUAAGUUAAAGCUAGUGUUUUGCAAGCCUGCCAGUCAUGAAUGUUUGAUGUUUUUGUGUUGUAUCCUGUAUCUGGUUUCCACUAUAAUCCAGUGUGAGUGCUAGGAUGUCUGUCGCUGUUAGUGGUGUAUCUCAUACCACAGCAAAUGACACAAAAAUAUGACUAAACUUAUGAAGCUGUCCUAGAUGCUACCAAAUGCAUGAAGUAUAAAUUGCAAAAUGCCAAGCACUUUCUCUGCCCCUGCCAAACUAUCUUGUCAGGCAUAAUGAGAUUUCACAGUCUGUAACCUCAUGUAACCUGGACUGAUUGGAUUUGGAUUAUCUCUAUGAGUGCUGUAUGGACCUAUCACUGGCCUUUUUGCCCUGAGGUGACUUGAAAACACUUGCUAGGCUGCUUCCAAAUCUUUUGGGGUCGCUCUUCAGUCACCUGGGCACCUGAGCAGCCCUAGUAGAGGGGAAGCCUCAGACUACUUUCCAACCCACUCUAGUGCCCUGCGUCUCUGCUCCAGCUGCUUCUUCCAUAUUAUUCCUUCUGGCCUGGCAGUGAGAAGGGAGAAUGUGUAAAAGACCCUUGUUACACAUUUCAUAAACCAGAUAUUUGGAUUUGCUGUUCAUGUUAUGUAUGCUGCACAAAGAGUAAGGAACACAAGUGGACUUUUUGCUUCCUAUAUUUAAAUUGUAUCUGCUUCUCUUUCACACUGGUUUGGACCAAUAAAAAAGAUAGUUUUUAACUCAGAUAUUUUUUCCCUUUACUUACUCAUCUCUUCCAAAGACUGUUUAGAAAUGAAAUAAAGAAAGAAGUAAAGGUCUGUUUUGUUCAGUUAAAGUGCUAAGCAAGCCUCUACAAAUUCAGCAAGAUCCAAGGUCACAAGACAUUGCCUCUAAACAAGCACUGGUCACCAUUAAAGAAUUUAGUAACAGCUGAUAUAGACAUCUGAUAUGGUAUAUGGUGAUUUUGAAUGACAAAGAAUUAUCUUUGAAAAUUUCUAACCAUUAAAAGUUUCCAAAAUUGGAAAACAAUAAAUAUUGAAGUGCCAUAAAGCAGUGGGUAAAGGAUCCUUCCUUAAUGCCAGAGAAAAGUGAUGGGAAGGAUCUUUGCGAUUACAUGAAGAGAUGGCUUUUCUGAUACAGCUACACGUGGGCCAUUCAG
rnacentral:lncRNA from 13 species